GACGAACGCUGGCGGCGUGCUUAACACAUGCAAGUCACGGGGGCCCGCAAGGGUAACCGGCGAACGGGUGCGUAACACGUGAACAACCUGCCCUCGUGUGGGGGAUAGCCAUGCUAACGCGUGGGUAAUACCGCAUACGUUCCCCUGGAGGAGUCUCUGGGGGGAGGAAAGCUCCGGCGCACGGGGAGGGGUUCGCGGCCUAUCAGCUAGUUGGCGGGGUAAUGGCCCACCAAGGCGACGACGGGUAGCUGGUCGAGAGGAUGGCCAGCCACAUUGGGACUGAGAGACGGCCCAGACUCCUACGGGAGGCAGCAGUGGGGAAUCUUGCGCAAUGGCCGAAAGGCUGACGCAGCGACGCCGCGUGUGGGAUGAAGCAUUUCGGUGUGUAAACCACUGUUGCCCGGGACGAACAGCCUUUUUCGAGAGGUCUGACGGUACCGGGUGAGGAAGC
rnacentral:rRNA from 1 species